rnacentral:miRNA from 1 species
AUUUGGUUCCAUUUUACCAGC